UUUUGAUAAAUGUAGAAAGAUGGCUAAUUAAGAGAUUUAUA
rnacentral:sRNA from 1 species